rnacentral:rRNA from 1 species
GAUGAACGCUGGCGGCGUGCUUAACACAUGCAAGUCGAACGAUGAAAGCGGGAGCUUGCUCCUGCUGGAUUAGUGGCGAACGGGUGAGUAACACGUGAGCAAUCUGCCCCGAACUCUGGGAUAAGCGUUGGAAACGACGUCUAAUACCGGAUACGACGCGCGAAGGCAUCUUCUGCGCGUGGAAAGAACUUCGGUUCGGGAUGAGCUCGCGGCCUAUCAGCUAGUUGGUGAGGUAACGGCCCACCAAGGCGACGACGGGUAGCCGGCCUGAGAGGGUGACCGGCCACACUGGGACUGAGACACGGCCCAGACUCAUACGGGAGGCAGCAGUGGGGAAUAUUGCACAAUGGGCGCAAGCCUGAUGCAGCAACGCCGCGUGAGGGACGACGGCCUUCGGGUUGUAAACCUCUUUUAGUAGGGAAGGAGCGAAAGUGACGGUACCUGCAGAAAAAGCACCGGCUAACUACGUGCCAGCCGCCGCCGUAAGAC